UACAGAGGGGGCAAGCGUUGUUCGGAAUUACUGGGCGUAAAGGGCGCGUAGGCGGCCUGUUAAGUCGAACGUGAAAUCCCCGGGCUCAACCCGGGAACUGCGUCCGAUACUGGCAGGCUUGAAUUCGGGAGAGGGAUGUGGAAUUCCAGGUGUAGCGGUGAAAUGCGUAGAUAUCUGGAGGAAUACCGGUGGCGAAGGCGGCAUCCUGGACCGGCAUUGACGCUGAUGAGCGAAAGCUAGGGGAGCAAACGGG
rnacentral:rRNA from 1 species